rnacentral:rRNA from 1 species
GAUGAACGCUAGCGGCAGGCCUAACACAUGCAAGUCGAGGGGUAACGAGAGGAAAGCUUGCUUUCCUUGUCGACGACCGGCGCACGGGUGAGUAACGCGUAUCCAACCUGCCCCCAACUAGGGAAUAACCUUGCGAAAGUAAGACUAAUACCCUAUAAUUUCCUCAGAUGUCAUCUGACGAGGAAUAAAGAUUUAUCGGUUGUGGAUGGGGAUGCGUCUGAGUAGCUUGUUGGCGGGGUAACGGCCCACCAAGGCAACAAUCAGUAGGGGUUCUGAGAGGAAGGUCCCCCACAUUGGAACUGAGACACGGUCCAAACUCCUACGGGAGGCAGCAGUGAGGAAUAUUGGUCAAUGGGCGGAAGCCUGAACCAGCCAAGUAGCGUGCAGGAUGACGGCCCUAUGGGUUGUAAACUGCUUUUAUACAGGAAUAAAGUUAGCCACGUGUGGUUAUUUGUAGGUACUGUAUGAAUAAGGACCGGCUAAUUCCGUGCCAGCAGCCGCGGUAA